AUUGAACGCUGGCGGCAGGCCUAACACAUGCAAGUCGAGCGGUAGAGAGAAGCUUGCUUCUCUUGAGAGCGGCGGACGGGUGAGUAAUGCCUAGGAAUCUGCCUGGUAGUGGGGGAUAACGUCCGGAAACGGACGCUAAUACCGCAUACGUCCUACGGGAGAAAGCAGGGGACCUUCGGGCCUUGCGCUAUCAGAUGAGCCUAGGUCGGAUUAGCUAGUUGGUGGGGUAAUGGCUCACCAAGGCGACGAUCCGUAACUGGUCUGAGAGGAUGAUCAGUCACACUGGAACUGAGACACGGUCCAGACUCCUACGGGAGGCAGCAGUGGGGAAUAUUGGACAAUGGGCGAAAGCCUGAUCCAGCCAUGCCGCGUGUGUGAAGAAGGUCUUCGGAUUGUAAAGCACUUUAAGUUGGGAGGAAGGGCAGUAAAUUAAUACUUUGCUGUUUUGACGUUACCGACAGAAUAAGCACCGGCUAACUCUGUGCCAGCAGCCGCGGUAAUACAGAGGGUGCAAGCGUUAAUCGGAAUUACUGGGCGUAAAGCGCGCGUAGGUGGUUCGUUAAGUUGGAUGUGAAAUCCCCGGGCUCAACCUGGGAACUGCAUUCAAAACUGACGAGCUAGAGUAUGGUAGAGGGUGGUGGAAUUUCCUGUGUAGCGAUGAAAUGCGUAGAUAUAGGAAGGAACACCAGUGGCGAAGGCGACCACCUGGACUGAUACUGACACUGAGGUGCGAAAGCGUGGGGAGCAAACAGG
rnacentral:rRNA from 1 species